rnacentral:rRNA from 1 species
GACGAACGCUGGCGGCGUGCCUAACACAUGCAAGUCGAGCGGAGACAGUGAGUAGCUUGCUACGAACUGUUUUAGCGGCGGACGGGUGAGUAACGCGUGAGCAACCUUUCCCAGACAGGGGAAUAACACACCGAAAGGUGUACUAAUACCGCAUAAGACCACGGUUUCACAUGGAACUGAGGUAAAAGAUUUAUCGGUUUGGGGUGGGCUCGCGUCCGAUUAGGUAGUUGGUGAGGUAACGGCCCACCAAGCCGACGAUCGGUAGCCGACCUGAGAGGGUGAUCGGCCACAUUGGGACUGAGACACGGCCCAAACUCCUACGGGAGGCAGCAGUGGGGAAUAUUGGGCAAUGGAGGAAACUCUGACCCAGCAACGCCGCGUGGAGGAAGAAGAUUUUCGGAUCGUAAACUCCUGUCCUUGGAGACGAGUAGAAGACGGUAUCCAAGGAGGAAG